AUAGGUAGUUGAGGAAGAGCAUAAUUAAGGGGGUUUAUUUUGUGUCGUGUGAGGGUACCUGUUGUG
rnacentral:tRNA from 1 species